UCAGACCUUCACAGAGCUCUUGUGAUGGCUCUGAAUGAGGUUGGCAGGAACAGAUGUGGCUGAGUGAGCACACAAAGGCACAGAGAACAACACGGAACUUGCAAAGUGCACGGAAUAACAAAGGUGCCACUCCAGCAAUCCAGCUGCUGAACAGGUUGCUUUUGGGGAGGGUGGAAAGUCUGAACCCUGGGACACUUGUCCUCUCUGGAAUCACAGCAGCUGUUGCAUGUCUUCCCUGAGGUGCAGCUCUCUCAAUGAAUACGACAGAAUAAGAUGAUGAAAGGGGCAAUGUCUCCACACGAGGGCAAUCUUAUCCUGUCAUUUGUGGGAAAUGAGCUGAAAUUCCCUGACCAAGGUUAAAGAGGCUCUCAAGAGCUGUUUCCUACCAGAGAGUGCAAACGGAAACAUUCCUCUUGGACUGGAGAUGCAUUUAAGGGCAGAACAGAAGUCAAAAUUGAAAGGAAAAUAAUUAAAAAAGUGGUUUUUUACACUUUUCCUUGCAUCUUUCCUUAACAAAACCCUGCUGGCUGCCCCAGUCACCUUCUUUUCCUGUAUAUGGCUAUAAAAUUCCUCCAUGGGGAUCCUUUUCCAGGACUUUCCCAGGGACUGAGGUGAGGCUGACUUGCUUGUAGUUCCCAAACUUCCUCUUGAGUUUCCUCUGGAAGAUGGGUGAGAUGCUGAGGUUCAUUUUUCAAUAAGUUUCUUUUUCACCAUGAUCUUUCAGAAAUGACAGA